GAACGCUGGCGGCGUGCUUAACACAUGCAAGUCGAACGGAAAGGCCCUGCUUUUGUGGGGUGCUCGAGUGGCGAACGGGUGAGUAACACGUGAGUAACCUGCCCUUGACUUUGGGAUAACUUCAGGAAACUGGGGCUAAUACCGGAUAGGAGCUCCUGCCGCAUGGUGGGGGUUGGAAAGUUUCGGCGGUUGGGGAUGGACUCGCGGCUUAUCGGCUUGUUGGUGGGGUAGUGGCUUACCAAGGCUUUGACGGGUAGCCGGCCUGAGAGGGUGACCGGCCACAUUGGGACUGAGAUACGGCCCAGACUCCUACGGGAGGCAGCAGUGGGGAAUAUUGCACAAUGGGCGGAAGCCUGAUGCAGCAACGCCGCGUGCGGGAUGACGGCCUUCGGGUUGUAAACCGCUUUCGCCUGUGACGAAGCGUGAGUGACGGUAAUGGGUAAAGAAGCACCGGCUAACUACGUGCCAGCAGCCGCGGUGAUACGUAGGGUGCGAGCGUUGUCCGGAUUUAUUGGGCGUAAAGGGCUCGUAGGUGGUUGAUCGCGUCGGAAGUGUAAUCUUGGGGCUUAACCCUGAGCGUGCUUUCGAUACGGGUUGACUUGAGGAAGGUAGGGGAGAAUGGAAUUCCUGGUGGAGCGGUGGAAUGCGCAGAUAUCAGGAGGAACACCAGUGGCGAAGGCGGUUCUCUGGGCCUUUCCUGACGCUGAGGAGCGAAAGCGUGGGGAGCGAACAGGCUUAGAUACCCUGGUAGUCCACGCUGUAAAACGGUGGGUACUAGGUGUGGGGUCCAUUCCACGGGUUCCGUGCCGUAGCUAACGCUUUAAGUACCCCGCCUGGGGAGUACGGCCGCAAGGCUAAAACUCAAAGGAAUUGACGGGGCCCCGCACAAGCGGCGGAGCAUGCGGAUUAAUUCGAUGCAACGCGUAGAACCUUACCUGGGUUUGACAUGGAUCGGGAGUGCUCAGAGAUGGGUGUGCCUCUUUUGGGGUCGGUUCACAGGUGGUGCAUGGCUGUCGUCAGCUCGUGUCGUGAGAUGUUGGGUUAAGUCCCGCAACGAGCGCAACCCUUGUUCACUGUUGCCUGCACGUUAUGGUGGGGACUCAGUGGAGACCGCCGGGGUCAACUCGGAGGAAGGUGGGGAUGACGUCAAGUCAUCAUGCCCCUUAUGUCCAGGGCUUCACGCAUGCUACAAUGGCUGGUACAGAGAGUGGCGAGCCUGUGAGGGUGAGCGAAUCUCGGAAAGCCGGUCUCAGUUCGGAUUGGGGUCUGCAACUCGACCUCAUGAAGUCGGAGUCGCUAGUAAUCGCAGAUCAGCAACGCUGCGGUGAAUACGUUCCCGGGGCUUGUACACACCGCCCGUCAAGUCAUGAAAGUUGGUAACACCCGAAGCCGGAGGCCUAACCGUUGUGGGGGAGCCGUCGAAGGUGGGACUGGUA
rnacentral:rRNA from 1 species